rnacentral:sRNA from 1 species
AUUUUAUUUGACCCUCGAUGGCCGUCUGCAGCGAAUAAGUGCAGGUCUCCGAGCGUGAUUUUAACCUUUUUUGCACAGCAGUCUCUGCAAUUAGCUCACCGACCUUCAACUUUGCUGUAAACCUUUUGGUUUUCCUACUUACUCUUCUUCUGUGGAGUUAUCCUCCUACAAUUCCCCUCCCCCUCGUCUUUCUCUUACCUCCUACUUCUCUUUCUUGUAAUGAAACUCUUCACUUUUAGGAGACCUGGGCAGUCCUGUCAGGCAGCAGCGAUUCCGACCCGCCAAGUCUCGGCCUCCACAUUAACCAUAGGAUGUUGACUCUAGAACCUGGACCCACCCAGCGCGUCCUUUCUUAUCCCCGAGUGGAUGGAUGGAUGGAUGGAUGAGAUUUCCACUGUGUGAGCUGUAGGACACAUUUAUCAUGCAAUGUGACCUCUGCUUCUGCGCCUUCAUUGGCCUACUCAAAGUGAAGACAAUGAGGAUGAGGACUUUAUGAUGAUCCACUUUCACUUAAUGAACAAGAAAUGAUGAAGAAGCAGUUGUGGAUAGAGGUGGAACUCGUUCUAUUCUCAAAACACACUUU